CAGGGAGACAACAAAAUGUUUGUAAUAAAUUUUGUCACCUUAGGUCGAUCGGAACCUCUGAUUUUCGAAACUCUCGAAGAUUUCAUUUCCUAAGUUUUUUCUAGGUCACACCCAUUUUUUCCCUGGGCCAUUAGCUCAGGUGGUUAGAGCGCACCCCUGAUAAGGGUGAGGUCCCUGGUUCGAGUCCAGGAUGGCCCAUAUCUCUAUUGGGGGUAUAGCUCAGUUGGUAGAGCGCCUGCUUUGCAAGCAGGAUGUCAGCGGUUCGAGUCCGCUUACCUCCACUGAAUACCACCUAAUUCAUUUAAAAGGGAAUUUAUUUGGGUAUGACUUAAUCUGGGAGAAUCUAGCUUCCUGUUAAUUUAAUUAAUAAGAUGCUGGAUUCACUGAAUUAAAUAAUUCAAUGAUUCCAGAGAACCUUGACAACUGCAUAGAUUUAAUUUUUCAAGACAAUAAGCAUCUUAAUAAGAUGCAGAUUUAUUAUUGGUGCUAAUGCAUUAAUAACAAUUCUAUUGAGCUGAUGCUUCAUAUUUUUUGAAGUUAUU
rnacentral:tRNA from 1 species